GACCUCGCUGCUUACCUUAUCAAAACCGGUUCAAUCUCAAAGCCCGAUAAGCAUCGCGAAAGGCGGACGCGCGUCAUCAAUUGAAUUUGGCUAUGUUUCGUGAGUCGUGACUUCUGCUGAAGGGGAACCCAUAAGGAGAUGUUGACCUGAAACCUGGCCCUGUUACUCACUACAGUUCCUCUGCAGGUUCCCCUUCAUGAUAGAAAUUCACUUCCAUAUCAUCUGAGAGACUUG